GACGAACGCUGGCGGCGUGCUUAACACAUGCAAGUCGAACGGGCCUGUCUUCUUUUUUGGGGGUGGGUUGAGUGGCGAACGGGUGAGUAUCACGUGAGUAACCUGCCCUUCGGUCCUGGAUAACCGCUUGAAAGGGCGGCUAAUACGGGGUGGUCCGGUUGGUCCGCAUGGGCUGGUCGGGAUAGAUUCACUGUUUUUGGUGUUUCGGCGGGGGAUGGGCUCGCGGCCUAUCAGCUUGUUGGUGGGGUGAUGGCCUACCAAGGCGGUGACGGGUAGCCGGCCUGAGAGGGUGGGCGGCCACACUGGGACUGAGAUACGGCCCAGACUCCUGCGGGAGGCAGCAGUGGGGGGCAUUGCACAAUGGGCGGAAGCCUGAUGCAGCGACGUCGCGUGAGGGAUGGAGGCCUUCGGGUUGUGAACCUCUGUUUCCGGUGGUGAAGGCCCUGUCCGUGUGGUGGGGUUGACGGUAGCCGGGGAUGAAGCGCCGGCUAACUACGUG
rnacentral:rRNA from 1 species